rnacentral:rRNA from 1 species
AGAGUUUGAUCAUGGCUCAGGAUGAACGCUGGCGGUCUGCUUAACACAUGCAAGUCGAACGGGCUCUUUCGGGAGCUAGUGGCGGACGGGUGAGUAACGCGUGAGAAUCUGCCAAAAGGACUGGGACAACCACUGGAAACGGUGGCUAAUACCGGAUGAGCCGCAACGUAAAAGAGGAAACUCGCCUUUUGAGGAGCUCGCGUCUGAUUAGCUAGUUGGUGAGGUAAGAGCUCACCAAGGCAUCGAUCAGUAGCUGGUCUGAGAGGAUGAUCAGCCACACUGGGACUGAGACACGGCCCAGACUCCUACGGGAGGCAGCAGUGGGGAAUUUUCCGCAAUGGGCGAAAGCCUGACGGAGCAAGACCGCGUGAGGGAGGAAGGCUCUUGGGUUGUAAACCUCUUUUGUCAGGGAAGAACACAAUGACGGUACCUGAAGAAUCAGCAUCGGCUAACUCCGUGCCAGCAGCCGCGGUAAUACGGGGGAUGCAAGCGUUAUCCGGAAUUAUUGGGCGUAAAGCGUCCGCAGGUGGCUAAUCAAGUCUGCUGUCAAAGGUUGGGGCUUAACCCCAAAAAGGCAGUGGAAACUGAGAAGCUAGAGUGCAGUAGGGGUAGAGGGAAUUCCCGGUGUAGCGGUGAAAUGCGUAGAGAUCGGGAAGAACAUCGGUGGCGAAAGCGCUCUACUGGACUGCAACUGACACUCAGGGACGAAAGCUAGGGGAGCGAAUGGGAUUAGAUACCCCCGUAGUCC